CGCGGUGCCAGGAGGGGCGCAGAGGAGAGGUCGCUCCUCUCCCGUGCAGCCACCGCAGGCAGGUGAAGCUGCAGCUUCCCACCUCCUGGAGCAGGUGCCUUUGCUCGCAGCCGAGCUGCUCGGAGCUGCUGUGCAGCAGCCGGGCUGGCAGCCCGUGGGUCCGUGCCGUGGGAGGCUGGCAAUGCAGCAGUGGGCUGGGUGCUGACGGAGCAGCCCCGGGAGCUGCCUGUCAUUGCCCUGUCACAACAGCCCGGUGACUGGGACUUGUUAAUGUGAUAGUUUCUCUCCCUGCUUUGUCUGUAACAGAGAACCUGCCACCUUGAGGAAGGGCUUCAGCUCCACUCCCAUCUUUAAAUCACACAGCCAGCGCCGCGGGGAUGAAACUAAGGAGCAAACCAAUAUUUGGCUGCCCAGAUGUACGUUGAAGGCCGGUUCAGCCUUCAGCAAGGAAAAACUUCUGUGCCGUGUCCAAAAUUUCAAGGCGCUGAAUGAGAAGUUCAUCUUCCUGGCACCCUGACAGCGAAUAUUGAUCACAUAACCCCGAGUGCAGGAACUAGGAGACUGCUCAUCCAGCUAACCGCGCCUCACCUGGAUGGUAGCAGCUGUUAGGAAAAAAUAUUGGUCUGUUGACCGUGUUAAAUGGAUGGCACCGCCUCUAAUACAAAUAUACUGUAGGGAAACAGGGAAGGGGAUGCUUCCUGACACCUGUCUUUAAUCUCUGGAUGCUCUGAGUCCCCAAGAUAAGCCAGAACCUGGCCUGAAAGUCCAUGUGGAAAGACAAACUAACUGUGAACCAGACGCAGACAUCAGCGCCCGGGGCGCAGCGCGUACCAAGAUAGCCCACAGCCACCUGCCAGCUUGCCACUGACCUUUUAUCUGCAUAAAUAGUCGUGACCUUUGGGCUGCUCAAAUUAGUGCUAGCUGCUCACCCAGGCCAGUAUCACAGCCCCAUCGUGCACAGGCCUUCCGCUACUUUGACUCUGUUGCCUUCGCUUGGUGAACCAACAGGCAGAGGCACCGUGCUCAUGGCCUCUGUAGGCUGCAAACACCUCGCUGGAGCCUUCGUCCACCACUGAAGGGCACAAAGACCAAGGGAGGGGUCCUGCCACCUGCGGCUGUGUUGUCACUUCUCUGUAGGGCACGGUGAGCCUUCAGCUGCACUCCUGCUUGGGGCAUUAAUUCAGCAUGUCCUUCAGGAGGAGUCCUGAAAGAGUUUUAAAAUCAACAGAAAGAAAUCAUUACCAAAAUGGCCACUCUUUCAGUAAGCCUCAAAAUGAGUUAUUUUGGUUAACACAGAAGUAGUUCACUACGUCACAGAUCUUUCUUUCCAAUAAAGUCUACGUUUUAUUCAGUGGACUGUAAGUUGUGUAGGGUUUAAUGCACAUUAUUUUCUCAGCAGAUGAAAACUAGCAUAUUUAUUUAUUUAUGUAUGUAUUUGCAUCGUUUUACAAACACGUUCUUUCAGAUUGCUUAGGAGACCCUCUGGAUGCCUAGCUGAUGAUAUUGACUACGUCUGAAAGAAGAAGAGUCGGAUACUUAAAAGACAUAAAGCAGGAAAAAAAAAAUACAAUUUUCUAGGUUCUUUAAGUUGAAGACUGCAUAGGCAUAUUCCAGAGAGACUUUACUCUGCCUAAAAUUUGUUUCAAAGCUCUUCUCUUCUGAUUUACUUUAACUGGAGCUAUUUUCUCUCUCUCUGUUCUAGUCACGGGAUAGUGGAUUCCAAAAGCAUUUUUCCACCUGAUGUCCAUUGUGUGCAUGAUGCUUUAAAAAUUCAAUUGACUCCUCUCAACAUUCUAGAGACUUGUUAAGUUGCACCAAGGCAAACUGUCAGGCACGGAAUGAGAAGGUGCUGUUUAUGGCCACAGCCCUUGCUGCCUGCUUUUACCUAUGACAUCUUUGGACAGGAAUAGGAAACCCCACAGGGUUGGGAGGUCAACUUGUUUCACUUGGCUGGCGCCCCCGGACUAGCACGAGUCAUAGAAUGGCGAGGGUUGGAAGGGACCUUAAAGCUCAUGCAGUUCCAACCGCCUGCCGUGGACAGGGCUGCCACCCACCAGCUCAGGCUGCCCAGGGCUCCAUCCAACCUGGCCUUGACACCUCCAGGGAUGGGGCAUCCACAGCCAGAUGGAUGGAUGCCCACGUGCUCUGGGCAGCCCAAAGCUCAGAUGUACAAUUGCUUGCAGAAAGUGAAUUCCAGCCAUAGUUUUUAGCUCCUUCUUUUGUUUUAUCUUUUACAGCAGUUCCAAAAGUGCAUUCACUUGAAACUUCUAAAAGCAAGUUGGUUUGCUUUCACUUGUUCCUCAUUUCAGCUAUCUGGCCCUCCCUAUCUGUGGCUGUACCAGCAGCAAUGCUACCCUGAGCCUCUCACGGGUAAAUAAGAAGUCAACACGCAUGUUUGCAAAGUAUGUUUAACUUGCGUCUUUCAUCUGUGAUUAAUAUUAAAUCUAUUGAGCUACAUAAAUAAGUAAUUCACUUACAGACCUGUCAAACCAAUAGUAAUUUCUUCCCCUCUGAAGCUCUGAGCUAUCCGUUCUAAUUGUUUAAUUUCCUUUUGUGUACCUGGAGAUAAAAACAGCCUGCUAGGCCGCUUCCACUUGGAAAGAAGGGAGGGCUGCCCAGUCACUCUCCUCCUCUGCCUCUUUCCCACUGCGUACAAGGUCUGCAAAUGUCCUUAAAAGCCUUGAGUGAAGAGUAAAAGAGCCAUUUUGCACAUCAUUUCUGCGGUGGUAGCUUGUGCAUGGAAAGUGGACUCCUGCUCAGCCUUCUGGCUUGGAUCACAGCCCUGCAAAAUCAUCUCCACCAAGAGACUAUGGAUCUGUUUCUGUUCUCCUGCAAAUGAAAUUAGCAGAAUUAUAUAAACAUAAAACCAGGGGCAAAUGAGAGGAAACUCAUGUUUGCUCUUUUGUGUUGAUAUGGAGUUGUGCUCCUCGAGCACUAAUAAGGCAGUGCUCUCACGGAAGACUGAGAGCAUGUAUUCAGGCCCCUGGCCUCCCAGUGACUGUGCACAACACUCAGCUCCUUUAAGUUUACAAGUACUUUACAGGUUGCUUAUAGAGAAGAGUAUGAAGUUGGUUUGAGGGAAAAUAAUCCCCAGGUUGGGAAGUCCCUCCUAGCUAAAGAAAGCACUGAGCACAGGGAGUCGAGAGGAAACCUCAUCCCCUCCCCAGUUCAUCCAGGUGCCUAUAUCAAAGCAGCAGGGGAGGAUCUCCCAGCAGCAAGGGAUCCUUUCUGAAACACAGUUGUGUAGGACUUCUCUUUGGAAGCAAUGAUGAGAGAGCACUCCCUCGAAACCCACCCCAGCGCCAUUUCAGGCUGGUGGAGGUGGUGGUACUGGGCUACAGCUCUUAAUCUGUGGGAAUUUUCCUCCCUCCAGCAUUUGCUGCAUAUGUAAAGCCCUGCAUAAGCCAUUGUAGUCUCUGGGAUCUGGGGGUGGAAAGAGGAAUGGAAGAAAUCUUGAAGCAGAAUAUAUUUAGCUUCCUUCUCUUCCAGGAUGCUCCUUCACACCUCACUGUUCAGCGCAUCCAGCCCUGCACCGAGCAGGGGAAAUGCAGCAAAACCAGCAGAGCUUUCUGCAGCAAUGAAGGGGCUUUCAGUAAAGCAGCCUCAGUACUGAAAACAUGAAAGGGACACCACAGUUCUUUAUCAAAGCACAGUUUAACACAAUCCAUGUGAGGGAUGCUGCGUUAGUUCCUAGCACUAUUUAGCUAUACCGAAAGGAAAGGAAAAUAUUAUAGCUAUGCAGAAAUAAAAAAUGGGAUCAAGAUUAGUGGAAAAGGGCAGAAAUGACGUUUACUAAGCUGCCUUUUGCCUGUGAUGUUUGUUCUUUACUGUUUUUCACUUAACAAGACUGCAGAAGACAUUACUUGUCCUUAAAGAGUGCUACUGCAUGCAGAGAGGAACCAGACCGUGGUUAUCUGCUGUAACCGAAAAGCUGACAUUUUGAAGUGGUCAUUAUUCAUUGCAACUGCUCAGAUUGAGGCCAUUUCACAUGGAAACAAUUAAGAGGCAGAAUGCAUAUCAUAACAAAGGAAUGAGAAAGAAAGAUCAGGAAAUACAGGCAGAUUGGAUAAUUCUCUUAAAAUGGAUACCGUAUUUACUGCAAGUGAUUAUAACAAAUCUAAGACUUGUAUUACCACCAGAGAACAGACAUGACUGAAUUGCAGAUUUUCUCAUGCAACCUCAGAGGAAAAAAUUCAGUUUAUUGAUUAAUUCAUAAUUUAGGUCCAGAAUGGAAAAAAAAAAAAUCUCAUUUCAUUUGUGUGCAGGAUGGAAGGAGCCUGAAAAUAAUGAAUUACAAAAGUGGUCACAACUGGAAAUUACAGAUAAAUGAAAACCAAAUAGGAAUGCAAAACAAUAUGGUCCGCGUGUACUUCAGUAAAAGCAAGGGAAAAAUGCAAAUGUGCAUGGAAGGGCAUCCACAGAGAUUGCAGAUUCUUCUCGAGAUCGGCCUAAGUGCAACUGGAGAGAAGAGAAGAGGAUAAAGAACAAAAUCCACUUCUAAAGAGGCGUGUUGUCUUACAUGCAGGAGAUACGGGGGGAGGGUUUCUUUACACUAUCAGAGAAUGAGCGAGGUAAUUACUGGAAGGCAUAUAUUGCAAUAAAGAAUUAUGAAACACCAUUUAAUUCUUCUUUCUGGUUGAGUAAUUAAACAAACAGAAUAUCAGCACUAAACGGUGUGAGACGGAUGAGACACCAUGAGCCUUAUACAACCAGGAGCCAGGAUGUCCAUGUCCCUCGGUCCUAAAACAGUCAUCUGUGUUUGCAAGGAAGUUCGGAAAUCACUUAGCGAAGAUAUCGAUACUGGAUCUCCUAGUGGCAUAAAUGCCACACCUUUCUGCUGUGUACACAUUCACACGCCGAAUUUCAUUAUGCCCCCCAAAAUGAGUGACUUAAACUUGGACAAUUAAGUG
ensembl:lncRNA